rnacentral:tRNA from 1 species
GCAGUAGUGGUUCAGUGGUAGAAUUCUCAUCUUCCAUGAGGGAGAGCUGGGUUUGAUCCCCUGCCAAUGUA